AGUGGAAUGGCUGGGUCAUGUGGUAGGUAUGCAUUUAACUUUGUAAGAAACUGCUAAACUCCUUUCCAAAGUGGUAGGACCUUUUCACAUCCCCACCAGUAGU
rnacentral:pre_miRNA from 1 species